rnacentral:lncRNA from 1 species
GAAGUAGAUGAAUCAGUAGUUUCACUAUUUUGAAGCCUUGGAUUUGAAUCUAUAAUAGAUAUAUUCAACCUCUCCAACUCCUCAGAAAGUUGUCCAGAGGUAACCAGGUCAGUAUGAGAUUUAAGAACCUAACCUUCAAGAAUGUAGCAGUUGUCUCAGUAGAAAGAUUCAGAACACCACCAGGCUGAUUAAAAGAUUGGCCAGAUAGAUUUUGUGAUCCGCCAGCUUGGACUUCCUUCAAGAACUUCAGGCACUCCUGCAAAGCAUCCUUGUAUGUAGUUAAGUUGUUACUCAACCACUUCUCAAGGUCAAGAAUUUCUUUACUUGAAGCAACAGCUGCUAACCUUAC